rnacentral:lncRNA from 1 species
UUUAAAUUGAUUUUAACAAUAGCGAUGAAAGUGAAAGAAGGUUAUGGGCUCAUUUGGGGAUACUCAACUCUAAGAUCUCUCAUAGUUGGUAGCUGGGGACUUCAAUGUUAUUGUUAGGCCACAAAAGAGUUGAUUAUUGCAUUUCUUGUGUUGAGGCCCAAUUUAGCCAUACCCAAACCUAACAGGCCAAACUCAUUUACAACUAAAAAUCCACCAGCCCACCUAACCACUAAACCAAACAGUCUAAAAAAAUAAACCUUAAUAGCUCAACUCGAAAAUAAAAAAGAAAAAAAAAACAAUUAACCCUAGCCACUGUCAAAGUCUCAACCACCCUCUGCAACUACCCUCUGCCACCACGUGCUCUACCGCCACAGUCGCAGCACCACCGCCCACUUGCACCUGCAAGAAAAGACAGCAAGAAAUAAUAAUAAAAUUUGUAAAAUGAUGGCUAUAAAAAAGCCAUUCAAAAAUUAUGUAGAAGGUUCUCUUUUUGGCUCCAACAAAAAAAAAAGAAAAUACAAAGAAUAGAUUUUAAAUAAAAAAAAACAACAAGCAGUCAAGAACAGAUUGGUGGUGCAAAGGUCUUUUUUUUUUUGUUGUUUACCUUUCUCUUUAUUUUUCCGCAUAUAUAUACGUAUUUCUUUAUAUUUCUUCCAAAAAAACAGCAUAUACAUAACAUAUAUGUAUAGAUAUAGAUAAAAAUGUAAAAAAAAAAAACCUUUUUUUUCUAUUUUCUGGCCACCGUACACGGUGGCCAGCGGCGGUGGCUGGCGACGGUCCGGUGACCGGACGGUGACCGGCCCUGUGGCCGGAAAUCGCCUCACCCCUCCCCUCUCUCUCUUUUUUUUUUC